rnacentral:rRNA from 1 species
GGCCUUUNGNUAACCUGCUCAAGGUAUUUAAUAUAAAUAUAUCAAUAGCCGCAGAAAUUUAACUGUGCUAAGGUAGCACAAUCAUUUGUCUUUUAAUUAAAGACUAGAAUGAAAGGUUUAACAUUUUAUUUACUUUUUUAAAUUUAAUUAUAUUAAACUUAUACUAAAUAUAAAAAUAUAUUUAUAAAAAAAUUAGACGACAAGACCCUAUCGAACUUCACUUUAGUUAAGCUGGGGCAGCUUAUUAAAAACAAUUUUAAUUCAUUUUAAUAUAAACAAAGACCCAAUAAAAUUGAAUACAUGAUCAAGUUACCGUAGGGAUAACAGCGUAAUUAAUUUCUAAAGCUCUUAUUAAAAAAUAGGAUUGCGACCUCGAUGUUGAAUUAAUUUUCUUUAUUAUGCAAAAAUAAUAAAAGUAGGUCUGUUCGACCUUUAAAAUUUUACAUGAUCUGAGCCAANCCCCCNGGNGAA